CGUUGAAACACUCACUCCCGUACGAUCACCGAAAUUAAGCAAUGUCGAUCCUGGUUAGUACCUAGAUGAGUGACCAUUUGGUGAAUACCCGGUGCUGUAAG